UUCAGAAGGAGUCGAAGUUCUGGAAGAAAAUUGUCUACCCACUGCAUGGAAGGGGAUUGGAAGCAGGCUUCAUGGGCGGCAGCCGGAGGUGGAAAUAGACAAGGGAGUCCAAAGUCAGUGUGCAGAAGCUGUGCAACCAAGCUGGAGGAAAAGAAAGCGCGAGGAACUCCCACCAGACUGAAACCCUUUUUGUUGCUCGCGUGUCACAGAGCCUUCAUUCUGUUCCUGAGGAAGAAAUAGUAUCCAGAAGGAUUCCCGAAAAGCUGGACAAUUAGAUCUACUUUCUUGCCUGAAGAAGUGGAGACAACGGAAC